UCCACUUGUGGCUGGGAUAAGCAUCCGGUACUUGUGCAUGUGAGUGGCUCCCUUUUGUUUUCAGUUGUCAGAUGAUGUUAGAAGUGGUGGUCAGACCUAAAGAGAUGCGGCUUCACCGAGCAUUUUUGAAGUGAUUUUCUCUGUGGAUGAUCUGGUGCAGGUCAGUUCAGUCAAGAAGGUAUCUGCAGUAGCCUGAAGUUUGGAAAGCUCCCCCAGCACAGCAGAAUUCCUCUGGAAGGUAUGACCUACUCUUUGAAAGUGGUGGAAAAUACUUAUUUUUAAUCACCUUCAUCUCAAGAGCUGUAAUUGAGGUUAUGAAGUUGUAGUGGAUUAACAGAGCAGCCUUUUUUAAAAAUGAAGAGUCAUAUGAGCAGAACCUGCCAGGAUGAAUUCUAAUAUAUGGAGCAGGAGGUUGACUCUCUUUACCUUAUUGGACUGGAAAUGACUUAGCCUACUGAAGAACUUACAGAAUCACAGAAUGGCCCGGGUUGGAAGGGACCUCAAGGAUCACGAAUUUCCAACCCCCCUGCCACAGGCAGGGCCA